rnacentral:rRNA from 1 species
CGACUACGAGUUUGAUCAUGGCUCAGGAUGAACGCUAGCGGCAGGCUUAACACAUGCAAGUCGAGGGGCAGCGGGGUGUAGCAAUACAUCGCCGGCGACCGGCGCACGGGUGCGUAACACGUAUGGAAUCUGCCCUGUACUGGGGGAUAGCCCUCCGAAAGGAGGAUUAAUACCCCAUAACAACUUGAGUGGCAUCACUUGGGUUUGAAAGCUCCGGCGGUACAGGAUGACCAUGCGCCCGAUUAGCUAGUAGGUGAGGUAACGGCUCACCUAGGCUACGAUCGGUAGGGGGCCUGAGAGGGUUAUCCCCCCACACUGGUACUGAGACACGGACCAGACUCCUACGGGAGGCAGCAGUGAGGAAUAUUGCGCAAUGGAGGCAACUCUGACGCAGCCAUGCCGCGUGCAGGAAGAAGGCGCUACGCGUUGUAAACUGCUUUUAACCGGGAAGAAACCCCAGGACGUGUCCUGGGUUGACGGUACCGGAGGAAUAAGCACCGGCUAACUUCGUG